GCCUUUCACAGAAUAGCUCAGUUGGUUAGAGCGUGGUGCUGAUAAUGCCAAAGUUGUAGGUUCAAAACCCCGUAUGGGACA